UACGUAGGGUGCAAGCGUUGUCCGGAAUUAUUGGGCGUAAAGAGCUCGUAGGCGGUCUGUCGCGUCGGCUGUGAAAACUCGGGGCUCAACCCCGAGCUUGCAGUCGAUACGGGCAGGCUAGAGUUCGGCAGGGGAGACUGGAAUUCCUGGUGUAGCGGUGAAAUGCGCAGAUAUCAGGAGGAACACCGGUGGCGAAGGCGGGUCUCUGGGCCGAUACUGACGCUGAGGAGCGAAAGUGUGGGGAGCGAACAGG
rnacentral:rRNA from 1 species